UGUAGAUCAGAAACUGUGGUAUGCUCUCCAGAUAUAGUACCAAGCGUUCUUGAAUUACUGGGAUUGCGAGGUUCUUCUAUCUUAUUUCUUAUAGCAUCAUUAUUAGUGUCAGACCACUGAUUUGGCCCCUCCCCAGCUACUGUACGUCUGUUCAACUCUUCAAGUUUUGCCAAGGCCCUAGCCCUCUGUUUUCUAGUCCUUUCCUCCUCUUCCUCCUGCAAUUGUUUGGUGCGUUGCUUUGCUAGCUCUCUCAUCUUUGUACGCUGAGCUUGACUAUCUUUUGAAUCACCUAUGGAUGGGGCAGGCCCAUCUCCAAGGCUAUCUGAAGAAAAUGGCUUGGCCUUAUUGAUAGCUCCUAAAGCAUUG
rnacentral:misc_RNA from 1 species